rnacentral:lncRNA from 1 species
AAAGAAACUGAUCUUAAAUGGAAUAUGCGUUGUGGAAACCCCCUUGGUCCAGUGGUUUAACCAAGGGUUCAUUAAUGCUUCUACACCAGAAGAUCUGGAUUUCAAUUCCCGGAGAAAGCGGAAUUAUGCGAACUAAAGGAGAAAAGGUUUACAAGAGAUCUACAACAUGGCGCAAAGAAUACCGUCAAGUGUGGAUCCGAUAUGGUAGCUCAGGUGAUGCAGUCAGGCGUGAAUCAUUAUACGGCAGGUAGAAUUGUCGGCUGUAGAAUUGUCUGUAAUAUUUCUCAUAGUUGUAAUAGCAUAAUUAUCAUGUAUUAAAAAAAAUGGAAUAUGCGUCUUAAUGACAAAAUUUGUA